CGGCCCGCACAAGCAGCGGAGCGUGUGGUUUAAUUCGAUGCUACACGAAGAACCUUACCAGGGUUUGACAUGCAAGUGGUAGGAACCGAAAGGCGACCGACCCUUCGGGGAGCUUGCACAGGUGCUGCAUGGCUGUCGUCAGCUCGUGUCGUGAGAUGUUCGGUUAAGUCCGCUAACGAGCGCAACCCUCGCUGUGUGUUACAAGUGUCACACGGUACUGCCGGUCUUAAGCCGGAGGAAGGUGGGGAUGACGUCAAGUCAGCAUGGCCUUUAUGUCCUGGGCUACACACACGCUACAAUGGCCAACACAAUAGGUUGCUAAGCCGCGAGGUGGAGCCAAUCCUCAAAGUUGGUCUCAGUUCAGAUUGCAGGCUGCAACCCGCCUGCAUGAAGAUGGAGUUGCUAGUAACCGCAGGUCAGCUAUACUGCGGUGAAUACGUUCCCGGGGCUU
rnacentral:rRNA from 1 species